AUAUUUACCUGGCAGGAGAGAUACUAUGAUCACCAAGGUGGUUUUCCCAGAGCAAGGCUUAUCCAUUGCUUGGCAGACUUGAGCAAACCAUGGACCUCUCCAUCUACAGACAAUGGUGACUCACGUAGGUGACCUCUCA
ensembl:snRNA U1 U1 spliceosomal RNA